CGCUAGCUACAGGCUUAACACAUGCAAGUCGAGGGGCAGCAUGGUCUUAGCUUGCUAAGGCCGAUGGCGACCGGCGCACGGGUGAGUAACGCGUAUCCAACCUGCCUUACACUCUUGGACAGCCUUCUGAAAGGGAGAUUAAUACAAGAUGUUAUCAUGAGUAAGCAUUUUCGCAUGAUUAAAGGUUUACCGGUGUAAGAUGGGGAUGCGUUCCAUUAGAUAGUAGGCGGGGUAACGGCCCACCUAGUCUUCGAUGGAUAGGGGUUCUGAGAGGAAGGUCCCCCACAUUGGAACUGAGACACGGUCCAAACUCCUACGGGAGGCAGCAGUGAGGAAUAUUGGUCAAUGGACGCAAGUCUGAACCAGCCAAGUAGCGUGCAGGAUGACGGCCCUCCGGGUUGUAAACUGCUUUUAGUUGGGAAUAAAGUGCAGCUCGUGAGCUGUUUUGUAUGUACCAUCAGAAAAAGGACCGGCUAAUUCCGUGCCAGCAGCCGCGGUAAUACGGAAGGUCCAGGCGUUAUCCGGAUUUAUUGGGUUUAAAGGGAGCGCAGGCGGACUCUUAAGUCAGUUGUGAAAUACGGCGGCUCAACCGUCGGACUGCAGUUGAUACUGGGAGUCUUGAGUGCACACAGGGAUGCUGGAAUUCAUGGUGUAGCGGUGAAAUGCUCAGAUAUCAUGAAGAACUCCGAUCGCGAAGGCAGGUAUCCGGGGUGCAACUGACGCUGAGGCUCGAAAGUGCGGGUAUCAAACAGGAUUAGAUACCCUGGUAGUCCGCACAGUAAACGAUGAAUACUCGCGGUUGGCGAUAUACAGUCAGCCGCCAAGAGAAAGCGUUAAGUAUUCCACCUGGGGAGUACGCCGGCGACGGUGAAACUCAAAGGAAUUGACGGGGGCCCGCACAAGCGGAGGAACAUGUGGUUUAAUUUGAUGAUACGCGAGGAACCUUACCCGGGCUUGAAUUGCAGAGGAAGGAUUUGGAGACAAUGACGCCUUUUGGGGCUUCUGUGAAGGUGCUGCAUGGUUGUCGUCAGCUCGUGCCGUGAGGUGUCGGCUUAAGUGCCAUAACGAGCGCAACCCUCAUCCUCGUUUGCCAUCAGGUAAUGCUGGGCACUCCGGGGAUACUGCCAUCGUAAGAUGUGAGGAAGGUGGGGAUGACGUCAAAUCAGCACGGCCCUUACGUCCGGGGCUACACACGUGUUACAAUGGGCGGUACAGAGGGCAGCCACCACGCGAGUGGGAGCUAAUCCUCAAAGCCGUUCUCAGUUCGGACUGGAGUCUGCAACCCGACUCCACGAAGCUGGAUUCGCUAGUAAUCGCGCAUCAGCCAUGGCGCGGUGAAUACGUUCCCGGGCCUUGUACACACCGCCCGUCAAGCCAUGAAAGCCGGGAGCACCUGAAGACCGUGACCGCAAGGGUCGGCCUAGGGUGAUACUGGUGAUUGGGGCUAA
rnacentral:rRNA from 1 species